rnacentral:tRNA from 1 species
AGUUGAGGGUGUUGCCCCGAGAGUAAUUUGAAGUUAUUCCUUUCAUUUAGGUUAGUGUGACGUCUG